CUCAGUGAUCAUCCUGCAACUCACAACUGGUAACCCACUGAAGCCAAGCAGGUGUGAGCCUGGUCAGUACCUGGAUGGGAGACCUCCUGGGAAAAACUAAGGUUGCUGCUG
rnacentral:rRNA from 1 species